rnacentral:rRNA from 1 species
ACGAACGCUGGCGGCAGGCCUAACACAUGCAAGUCGAACGCCCUAGCAAUAGGGAGUGGCAGACGGGUGAGUAACGCGUGGGAACCUUCCCUAUAGUACGGAAUAUACCAGGGAAACUUGGAGCAAUACCGUAUACGCCCGAAAGGGGAAAGAUUUAUCGCUAUAGGAUGGGCCCGCGUAGGAUUAGCUAGUUGGUGAGGUAAUGGCUCACCAAGGCGACGAUCCUUAGCUGGUCUGAGAGGAUGAUCAGCCACACUGGGACUGAGACACGGCCCAGACUCCUACGGGAGGCAGCAGUGGGGAAUAUUGGGCAAUGGGCGCAAGCCUGACCCAGCCAUGCCGCGUGAGUGACGACGGCCUUAGGGUUGUAAAGCUCUUUUGGCGGGGACGAUAAUGACGGUACCCGCAGAAUAAGCCCCGGCUAACUUCGU